rnacentral:rRNA from 1 species
CCCCUAGAUGUUCUGGGCCGCACGCGCGCUACACUGAACAGUUCAACAAGUCUUAACCUUGGCCGAUAGGUCUGGGUAAUCUUUGAACGCUGUUCGUGAUUGGGAUAGACCUUUGCAAUUAUGGGUCUUCAACGAGGAAUUUCUAGUAAACGCAAGUCAUCAGCUUGCAUUGAUUACGUCCCUGCCCUUUGUACACACCGCCCGUCGCACCUACCGAUUGAAUGGUCCGGUGAAAUCUCGGGACGGCGGCUUGGUCGCUUGCGUCCGACUGCUGAAACUUGAUUAAACCAUAUCAUUUAGAGGAAGGUGAAGUCGUANCA